rnacentral:rRNA from 1 species
GAUGAACGCUGGCGGCGUGCCUAAUACAUGCAAGUCGAACGCAUAGCGAAAGGUGCUUGCACCUUUCAAGUGAGUGGCGAACGGGUGAGUAACACGUGGACAACCUGCCUCAAGGCUGGGGAUAACAUUUGGAAACAGAUGCUAAUACCGAAUAAAACUUAGUGUCGCAUGACACAAAGUUAAAAGGCGCUUCGGCGUCACUUAGAGAUGGAUCCGCGGUGCAUUAGUUAGUUGGUGGGGUAAAGGCCUACCAAGACAAUGAUGCAUAGCCGAGUUGAGAGACUGAUCGGCCACAUUGGGACUGAGACACGGCCCAAACUCCUACGGGAGGCUGCAGUAGGGAAUCUUCCACAAUGGGCGAAAGCCUGAUGGAGCAACGCCGCGUGUGUGAUGAAGGCUUUCGGGUCGUAAAGCACUGUUGUAUGGGAAGAACAGCUAGAAUAGGAAAUGAUUUUAGUUUGACGGUACCAUACCAGAAGGGGACGGCUAAAUACGUG